ensembl:lncRNA
CCGGUCCCAAGGGCGGGGGGAGCAGCGGUGUCCCCGCUUGGGGACAGUCCCCCCCCCCCCCCCCCCCCCCCCCCCCCCCCCCCCCCCCCCCCCCCCCCCCCCCCCCCCCCCCCCCCCCCCCCCCCCCCCCCCGCCGCCCCCGCGCGCGCCGCGCUGCCAGGAGCCUCCUCAUCCCCCGCACGUUCGGUCCCCGAUGGGAUUUUUAUCCUCCCCCGAACCCCCAGCCGCCUUCCCGGGGCUGGGGAGAUGAGACGGAGGGGGCGAGGGACGGGAAUGGGGGUCCUUGAACCUGCCCUGACACCCGGACCCCGUCCCAGCCCGGCGGAGGGGACCCGAGCUGGGGACCUGCCUUGGGGACACGGAGGGGACCUGCCUUGGGGACAGGGAGGGGGACCUGCCUUGGGGACAUGAAGGGGUUUUGGUUUUGGGGACAUGAAGGGGAGUGGUGCUUGGGGACAUGGAGGGGACCUGGUUUGGGGACACGGAGGACACGGCCACACCGGUGCGGCUCUCCCGUGGCCGGGGUCGCGCUGGUGCUGCCGUUUGUGGGUGUCAUUCCCAGCUGUCCCCCCCCUGCCCAGGGUCACUGUCACCUGUCCCCAUCCCUCGAGGCUGAGACCCCUCAAAACUCGCGUCACAGAGCCAGAAGCGUUUUUUUUUGGGGGGGACAGGACUGACCCCAGGGCUGCCACUGACCCCUCCCUGUGUCCCCCCAGGACGCCCCCCCGGGAGCGAGGGACGGCGGGCUGGGGACACAUCCCGCAUCAGCCAGGACCUGGGGGGCGGCAGCCUGGCCAUCGACACCCUGCCGGCCAACGAGACCCGCAUUGUCGAGGACAAUCACAGCUACUACGUGUCGCGGGUCUACGGCCCCGGGGAGGCUCAGCUCCGGGGGCUCUGGGUGGAGCUGGCAGCGGCCAACAGGAGCCACGUGAGGAUCCACGGGAUCCUGUCCAACACGCACCGGCAGGCCUCGGUGAGCCUGGGCCUGGGCCGGGUCCCUGGGACACACCUGGGGGGUGUCGGGGGUUGGGGAGGGUUUGUGGGACAUCCCUGUUCCUCCAGCGGUGAAGGAACCUGCAGGAUCCCUCAUCCCAUCCCAUCCCUGUAUCCCAUCCCAUCCCUGUAUCCCAUCCCAUCCCUGUAUCCCAUCCCCCCCCCCCCCCCCCCCCCCCCCCCCCCCCCCCCCCCCCCCCCCCCCCCCCCCCCCCCCCCCCCCCCCCCCCCCCCCCCCCCCCCCCC